UGUUUCAAGUCAAGCAAACCCGACCCAGCCGGUUUUGACCCAUAUAAAAAACACCAUCUAUACUGCAAACAUGAGUUACUAGAUCGAUUUCUCACUGAAUAUAUUUAGGGAUUUCUCCUUUUCUCAGGAGGGAUAAAGAGUACUCAGCUAUAUCAACCAAAUCUUUAAUGUUGUGAAUGGACCGUUCCUCAGCGGCCACCAUGAAAAUGGCACGCGCUUGCGCUUUUCUGUGCAAUCUUGCUGCUGAAUUUAAGGGAAGAUGAGGUGAGUUUAGGGCUCUAAGUAGUUGUCGAUACAGAGAAAGAACCCGUUCCCUGUUUCUUGCCAAAUCUUCUGCGGUUGCCCAGAUAAGACCCCCCUUUGCCAUUUUGCCCUCCCUGAAAUGGUUUACCUCAAAGCAAACAAAUCGAUGACUCACAAGUUGUAGUGCUGAACGCCUGGCAAUAGAACCCACCCUAGUUU
rnacentral:lncRNA from 1 species